CAUAUGCUAACAAACAAACCUUCCCCUUACAUAUAUGACAUUUGUGGAUCAUUAAAUAAGGAUCUAUAUCCACUUUCAUACAUGUGGAUUCAUACAUAAAUAAUAGGACUAUACACACAAAUACGACUUGUAUACAUCUAGCUCUUACACGUGACUUGUCACACCACGGUGUACAAACUCACGCACACAAUGCUGCGGAGGCGGUGUCACGUGCUGGAUAGACUUGUGUGUUUGUGUGUGUGUGUGCAUGCGAGCACGUACUGUCCUCAGCGGAAAAGUAAGAAUUAUUCACGAUCGACAGAAUUUUGCGACAAUCCUGAUCGCUCCCAAGCCGCACACCUCGCCCAUGAGUAGACAGCAAAAAAAAAAAAAAAGUUCUCAAAACAAUAAUAACAAUAACAACAACAACAAAGAGAGCAUAUAACAGCAAAUAUAGAGACAGCAAGCAUCUGACAAUAAAUAAUUGACAGCAAAUACCUGACAAAAAAAAACAAAAAAAAACAGCAGAAAACAAUUAAACCGUUGGAGCAAACAACAUACAAGAUCCUGAGACCAACCAGAAAACACUAAACAACCGAGAGGAAAUAGCAGACACUAAUUAAACAACAGUCAGAAAAUAGCUGACAACAAACGCCUGAGACAACCAGCAGACACCAAACACGCAGGUAGGAAAUAGCAGACACUAAACAACAGCAAACAGCUGACAAAGCAGCAUCCUCUGAAGGUCGUUAGGUGGGUGUGGUGAAGACUUCGUUCCCGUGUUUACAGGACCAAACAGGACCAGCCAGAAGGUACCGGAGGCGGCUCCAGGAGUUGCAGGAUGCGUCAUCUUGUGUUUCUGCUUUCUGCCCGUGAGUGCGAGCCGAACAUCCGCAGCGGCAGCUGUGAACUGUAAGUGGUUCAUCGCGUCAAAAACGUGGGAUGUGGAAACCCAAGCAUAGCUACACAGCCAUUGAGCCCCUGUUGGAGUUAUCACGCCCAUUGUCUUCGGGAAAUAGUUCUGAACACCGCCAUGAUGUGCAGGGACCCUUACAAGUCGUUUGAUACAUUCCCUGCCGGUGUCAUUUUUAAACAUGUCGAGGAAGGAGACCCGUCUGACAUUUUACAAGAACGCGGCGGAUCUCCUCAUAUCACGUGAUACACAGCGUGUCUCUGCGCCAUGUCUCUGUGGGCCUCGAUGGCGGUGACGUGUGUUUGGUGAGUGGGCUGUGUGGGCCAUCAAGCCACUCGUGCACACAUCAUCUUACAUUUAUCGAAGAAGAAUUCAUAUCUGGGAAGGUACUAGAACUGUUAAGAAGUUGGAGGAACUGUAAACAAACAAAAAAAUUUGUAAAAAAAAAAAUCUUAACUUCCUUGACUCUUCAUGGUGUAAUUUUCCAGAAUAAAGCAUUGUUACUGUCCCUGACUGAGACAUAUGAGAGCGUGUACGUGUGGGAUGUGUUCGGGUAAAGCUGUGUUCUCCUACCCGUUGUUGGUCGUGCGUGCUCAAGUGUGAUGGUGACGGCACGUGACGUUUUGCUUGGCGGUGGUCGACGAUAAGGUCUGGACACGCUUCAGUAGUUUUCGAUGAAGACUUUCAGCCAAGAUCAGCACGGUAGUCCCAUAUAAUUCUCACACCUCAGCGAUGGGAAGCUUUCACUAACCGACAAAGCCAGCCCAGCGGAACAUCACCUUUUCCACUUUACGAGUUGCUU